rnacentral:rRNA from 1 species
CCUACGGGGGGCUGCAGUGGGGAAUAUUGGACAAUGGGGGAAACCCUGAUCCAGCGACGCCGCGUGAGUGAAGAAGUAUUUCGGUAUGUAAAGCUCUAUCAGCAGGGAAGAAAAUGACGGUACCUGACUAAGAAGCCCCGGCUAACUACGUGCCAGCAGCCGCGGUAAUACGUAGGGGGCAAGCGUUAUCCGGAUUUACUGGGUGUAAAGGGAGCGUAGACGGCACUGCAAGUCUGGAGUGAAAGCCCGGGGCUCAACCCCGGGACUGCUUUGGAAACUGUGGUGCUAGAGUGCAGGAGAGGUAAGUGGAAUUCCUAGUGUAGCGGUGAAAUGCGUAGAUAUUAGGAGGAACACCAGUGGCGAAGGCGGCUUACUGGACUGUAACUGACGUUGAGGCUCGAAAGCGUGGGGAGCAAACAGGAUUAGAUACCCUUGUAGUC